rnacentral:lncRNA from 1 species
CGCCACCCGUCUGGGGCCCGAAAGGAGGGAGCUUUCCCUCUGUCCCCCAGCCUUUGGACUGUCACCAAACAAGCCAUUCGUUCACCAAAUACUUUUUAAGCGCCUACCAUGUGCCUGACAAGGGAUAUGUAACGGUGAGAAAAACUAGGUGUGGUCCAGGCCCUUCAGGGACUCAGGGGCUCGUGGAAGAAGUGGAUAUUGAAGUACUUAUCACACAAAGGAGGAUAAAAGUACGAUAGCGAUAUCUACCACGAAGCUGUUGUUCCACACCAGAACCAAAUGAGCGCAAGAUCUGACAAAAAAAAAAGGUUCAUCUUUUAUUCUUCCAAACACUUUCAUUUAAAUCAAGAGGAUGGGAUGUGGUUAUUACUGUGUUUUUAGACAAAAUCAAUGGUUUCUGGCUCUGAGAUGUUGCAUACACCCUCUCAGUCCCUGUAUCCUGAGAUGGAGUCACCUGAGAAUCCACAGCAAGUCCUAACCAGGGAUGGGUCUGGGUGAUUAAGGAAGAUUGGCUUCAGAACUGGGCCAGGGGCACUGCUUUGCUUUUGCUGUUUUGAUCAGCUCUCUGCCUGCAGGAGACGAGGAAAACCAAUGGGAACAGAAACUCCUAGAGGGCAGAGGCAUGCCUGCCAUCUUCAUCAUUGCAUUACCAUCACCCAACACUAUCAGGGGACCUGCCCUGAUAAUCAGUCUACAGUUGUAUCCAGCAGCUCCAGAGAGACAGCGACCAGCAAGAAGGGGCCAUGAUGAUGGUGGUGGUUUUUUCAAAACGAAAAGGGGGAUAUGUAGGGAAAAGAAAGAGAGAUCAGACUCUUACAGACUCUUACUGUGUCUACAUAGAAAGGGAAGACAUAAGAGACUCCAUUUGGAAAAAGACCUGUACUUUAAACAAUUGCUUUGCUGAGAUGUUGUU